ACGCAGGAAUCUUAGACCAACCCAAACCCGUGCAACUGCAAGUUUCGCCCGGUCUUUCCGGGUCUAGAGAGACAAACAGAUGUACUGAGACUGACUCCACGACUGGUCUACUGGCGGGUGCUAGUAACACUCACUUUGCUUCGUAGCGGAGCACAUGAGCGGUGGGAACACCCCCGUGGUAACACGGACCCACCGGGCCAAAAGCCACGCCUCACGGCCUCAUGUGUGUGCAACCCCAGCACGGCAAAUUGUUUGUGAAACACAUCUUAAGGUAACACUGGGACUGGUACUUAGUUUCUGGAGACAGGCUAAGGAUGCCCUUCAGGUACCCCGAGGUAACAAGAGACACUCGGGAUCUGAGAAGGGGACUGGAAGUUCUUUAAAACUGUCCAGUUUAAAAAGCUUCUAUGCCUGAAUAGGUGACCGGAGGCCGGCACCUUUUCCUUUUAUCCAACACAUUU
rnacentral:other from 1 species